CGCUCCGUGGUCUAAUGGUACGAUACCGUCAUUUUCUAGAGUCAUCUCAAGGAGAUCAGGCGGGGAUUGCGAGUUCGAUUCUCGUCGGAGCCA